rnacentral:rRNA from 1 species
GUCGAACGCGUUGGCCCAAUUGAUUGAUGGUGCUUGCACCUGAUUGAUUUUGGUCGCCAACGAGUGGCGGACGGGUGAGUAACACGUAGGUAACCUGCCCAGAAGCGGGGGACAACAUUUGGAAACAGAUGCUAAUACCGCAUAACAGCGUUGUUCGCAUGAACAACGCUUAAAAGAUGGCUUCUCGCUAUCACUUCUGGAUGGACCUGCGGUGCAUUAGCUUGUUGGUGGGGUAACGGCCUACCAAGGCGAUGAUGCAUAGCCGAGUUGAGAGACUGAUCGGCCACAAUGGGACUGAGACACGGCCCAUACUCCUACGGGAGGCAGCAGUAGGGAAUCUUCCACAAUGGGCGCAAGCCUGAUGGAGCAACACCGCGUGAGUGAAGAAGGGUUUCGGCUCGUAAAGCUCUGUUGUUAAAGAAGAACACGUAUGAGAGUAACUGUUCAUACGUUGACGGUAUUUAACCAGAAAGUCACGGCUAACUACGUGCCAGCAGCCGCGGUAAUACGUAGGUGGCAAGCGUUAUCCGGAUUUAUUGGGCGUAAAGAGAGUGCAGGCGGUUUUCUAAGUCUGAUGUGAAAGCCUUCGGCUUAACCGGAGAAGUGCAUCGGAAACUGGAUAACUUGAGUGCAGAAGAGGGUAGUGGAACUCCAUGUGUAGCGGUGGAAUGCGUAGAUAUAUGGAAGAACACCAGUGGCGAAGGCGGCUACCUGGUCUGCAACUGACGCUGAGACUCGAAAGCAUGGGUAGCGAACAGGAUUAGAUACCCUGGUAGUCCAUGCCGUAAACGAUGAGUGCUAGGUGUUGGAGGGUUUCCGCCCUUCAGUGCCGGAGCUAACGCAUUAAGCACUCCGCCUGGGGAGUACGACCGCAAGGUUGAAACUCAAAGGAAUUGACGGGGGCCCGCACAAGCGGUGGAGCAUGUGGUUUAAUUCGAAGCUACGCGAAGAACCUUACCAGGUCUUGACAUCUUGCGCCAACCCUAGAGAUAGGGCGUUUCCUUCGGGAACGCAAUGACAGGUGGUGCAUGGUCGUCGUCAGCUCGUGUCGUGAGAUGUUGGGUUAAGUCCCGCAACGAGCGCAACCCUUGUUACUAGUUGCCAGCAUUAAGUUGGGCACUCUAGUGAGACUGCCGGUGACAAACCGGAGGAAGGUGGGGACGACGUCAGAUCAUCAUGCCCCUUAUGACCUGGGCUACACACGUGCUACAAUGGACGGUACAACGAGUCGCGAACUCGCGAGGGCAAGCAAAUCUCUUAAAACCGUUCUCAGUUCGGACUGCAGGCUGCAACUCGCCUGCACGAAGUCGGAAUCGCUAGUAAUCGCGGAUCAGCAUGCCGCGGUGAAUACGUUCCCGGGCCUUGUACACACCGCCCGUCACACCGAUGAGAAGUUUGUAACACCCAA